rnacentral:rRNA from 1 species
CGGUAACAGGUCUUCGGAUGCUGACGAGUGGCGAACGGGUGAGUAAUACAUCGGAACGUGCCCGAGAGUGGGGGAUAACGAGGCGAAAGCUUUGCUAAUACCGCAUACGAUCUCAGGAUGAAAGCAGGGGACCGCAAGGCCUUGCGCUCACGGAGCGGCCGAUGGCAGAUUAGGUAGUUGGUGGGAUAAAAGCUUACCAAGCCGACGAUCUGUAGCUGGUCUGAGAGGACGACCAGCCACACUGGGACUGAGACACGGCCCAGACUCCUACGGGAGGCAGCAGUGGGGAAUUUUGGACAAUGGGCGCAAGCCUGAUCCAGCCAUGCCGCGUGCAGGAUGAAGGCCUUCGGGUUGUAAACUGCUUUUGUACGGAACGAAAAGACUCUGGUUAAUACCUGGGGUCCAUGACGGUACCGUAAGAAUAAGCACCGGCUAACUACGUGCCAGCAGCCGCGGUAAUACGUA